rnacentral:rRNA from 1 species
AUGUCUGGAAGCACGGGAGAACGUUCUUUUGCUGAUAUUAUUACCAGUAUUCGAUAAUGGGUUAUUCAUAGCAUUACUAUACCUUCCCUAUUCAUUGCGGGUUGGUUAUUUUUUAGUACGGGUUUAGUUUAUGACGUGUUUGGAAGUCAUUCAAAGAAGAUUUCCUUCUCGGCUUUGGUAAGAGCGUAG